UAAUGCGUCGUCGACCCGCCCUCCGAGUCGCGGAUAUCCGGCCGAAGGCUAAAAUCUGUGUUUGUCAAAUACACGCCCGACACUAUACACAGCAACGCACUGCAGGAUCCGAGUGUGUUUAAAAACCAAUAUAUAUUUAUGUGUAUAACAGACGUGUGUGAGUGUAUAUAUAUAUACAUAUAUUUUUACGUACCAAUUAAAUAUGUGUGACACUGGCGACCAAUACGUACAGUCGUCGGUAAUAUUAUUACACACUCCCGAUCCCCUUAUUUAUACCUAGCAAUAACGCACGCACGCACGCGUAUGUGUACGUAUGCGCGCGCAUUAUAUUCCCUUGUUGACCAAUAAUUAUUUUUACUCGAUUAUGUUUUUU